rnacentral:lncRNA from 1 species
CCGCUUCUGCGACAUAUGGAGGUUCCCAGGCUAGGGGUCGAAUCGGAGCUGUAGCCGCCGGCCUACGCCAGAGCCACAGCAAAGCGGGAUCCGAGCCGCGUCUGCAACCUACACCACAGCUCACGGCAACGCCGGAUCGUUAACCCACUGAGCAAGGGCAGGGACUGAACCCGCAACCUCAUGGUUCCUAGUCGGAUUCGUUAACCACUGCGCCACGACGGGAACUCCAGCAGUUUGCAUCCCCGAGAGUCAGUUUCCCCCGCAAGGAGACCAACUAGCAGUUCUCACGCUGUCUACCCCCCAAAUAGGUGACGAGGACCAAGUGAAGGUUAAGAGGAUGCUGAAAUAUUGACAAGGCAAAGGUGCUGAGUGUGCUCAGGGCAGGGAGGUGAUAUUUUUUGAGAAUACAAGCAGGGAACAGUGUUCUGAGAUGAUUCUGCUCUCUCACUGAUAUUGGAAAUACUUUAAAAUUUCCAUUUAAGAAAUGCCUGAAGCCAGGCCCAUUUCAAUCAUGUAAAAACCAAUAUCAGUUUGGAAAGGUUAUCACAGCCUUUCCCAUUCCGGUCAACAUUAAAAAUGCAAAUGUUUGCUAUUUAAAAAUAGCCUUUGGCCACCAGUGUUCAGGACAUAAGGUAAACCACAGCAGGCUGCCCUCUCCCAUGGAGGGUUCAGCAGGAAGGUAGCAGAGGAGGUGCUGAAAAGUCUGUGUUGUACCAGGCUGAUGAUUUGGGUCCUCAAGGUUGUCCUGUUUCAAAGGACCAGAUAUCCAUUCAUGGGGUAGGGUGGGGCAUGACCCUGUGGGUUUGUCUCUGUCUUCCCAGUACCUAGUCCAGUGUCUGCUUCAGAGUAAGACCUCAAGGGAUAUUUCUUGACUAGAUGAAUUAAUUCAUUUAUUGUCUUUUUUUGGGAUAUCCUAUCAUGUCUCAGGCACUGUACUAAGCCUAUAAAAUGUUACAGAAAACAGCCAUUUGGGGAAAUCAAUCUCAAGUAAUUUACCAUCUAAGAAGGAUGGUAAGAUAGGCAAAUAAAUAAUAGUAACACGAGAGCAUCAGAUGAACCUUACCGUAAGUACUAAUUCUGGAGGUCUGUCAAAAACAGGUGUUGGAAAAUGUGCCGGAUGAAGAAUGCUUGUGUGGUUGGACAUCAGGAUUCUGGAUGGUCUGGGAGAUGGAAUAACUGGGCAGUGAGAUCAGCAAUGGGAGAUUCCUGGAGGAGGUGCCAAGAACCAUUUCUGGGGUGGGCUCCUGUCCUUGGUGGUCUCCUCCACUCAGCCUGUAUGCUCCCUGAGGGCUGGACUGUAGCUUAUUUAGCUCUGCACCCCAAUACUUCACAUGGGGCCUGACACAUAGUAGGAAGCAACAUAUGCUGAAUAAAUGAAUGAAUAAAUAAAUGAAUGUUAGGAACUCAUCAAAAAUCAUAAGGAGAAGCAUUUGUUGAGACUUUAGCAAGUACCAAACAUCUUAUAUGUACAUACAUAUAAAUAUGUGUGUGUUUAUCUGUCACUGGUAAAGCCCAUUAACAAUUUCUAGGAAAUAAAAAUAGAAUCUGGGUAAUAAAACGAAAUCUAACCUUUUUUUUUUUCCUUUUCCUUUGUGCUUAGACUAGUUUCUCUUGCUCAUAGGGUACCACACGUAGAGAGAGGCCUUGCAGCUGGCCCAUCGGACCAGAGUUCCCAGUGGGAAAUGGCUGCACCCUACACCUCAGCUUGGCACGCCGAGUGCAGAACUGCUACACCUGGUACUAUGAUCUGGAGCCAUGCGCAGCACAGCUAUACCUGACUCACAAGAACUCUGCACCCUCCCUGCUGAUAAGAACCUGAUAAAACAGCCCUGAGAUGGUCUGUUGGGGACAGUAUGUAGAGCACAAGCUUGCACCUCUCCAACUGUCAAUCAAAGAAUUUUGCUUCUGAACAGAACUUGAUCUCAUUCUACUGGCUCAUAUAACACCAGGCAGGAAGACCCUUGUUGGGGCUCAUCUCAAAGGAUUGGUAACGGGGUGUGUGGGGGGGAGCAAGGAAUUGGGAACAUGGGAAUAAUGAAUACACACUACUGUAUAAACAAAUGAUUAAUAAAAACCUACUGUGUAGAACGGGAAAAUCUACUCAAUAGUUUGUUAUAACCUCUAUGGGAAAAAAAAAGAAUGGAUAUAUUUAUAUGUAUGACUGAUUCGCUUUUUUGUACACCUGAAACUAAUACAACAUUGUUAAGUCAACUAUACUCCAAUUGAUUUUUUUUAAAUGGAGGACUGGUAACAAAUUGUGGCAACCACGAAAGAACAAACCAUAGCCUUUCACCUGCCUCUAUCCAGUAGGCUCCAGGCUUGCCCAGCUCCAGCGGGAGGACGGUGGGGGCUCUAGGAAGUCUGAGUGAGGAUGACUGACUUUGGUCAUUGACUCUGGCUGGCCUUUGAGUUCACUCUGAUGGGGUAGAACGGCGGCAGCUGAAUUCAGAGAAACUCUUUCCAGCACCUUGAUAUCCAGGUAUGGUAUGCAUAUAGCAUAGCCCCCAGAAAAAUCUGGACCAUGUACCCUUGAGGGGAUUACACUGACUCAAAUUCAAGUGUGCCUUUCGAUGGUGCUCAGUGGAGAGGGGGCGGGGCAGGGGGUGGUGGGGUCUUGCAGAUGGGAUGAAGCCAUGGAAGUCUUGCCAGCAAUGCUAUCCUCUUGAUCCCUGUGAAAGGCAGUAGUGGCCACACCAGGGCUUUUUGCCCUCCUCCCUGAUCACGUUCUCCAUAGUCACUUUCAGUUUAGUAAAGGGAAGUGGCCAGUCGCAUGAACCAAGACGAGAGGCCAGAAAAAGGCCCAGGUAAAGAAGACCACCUGACACAACACAACAAGGAUGUUCCACUUGAGUUCAGGAAAGGGCACUGGGAAGCCCGAAUGUGAAAAGGUCCAAAGGUGGGUAUACAGCCGGUGAUUGAACCUCUUUGGGCCAGCGCUAGUUUCUCAGAAGUGGACUAGGGAGUCCUGUGAGCUGUUCACAAGACCAGGAACCCCCUUAUCAGGAAACUGAGAUGCUGGCAAGAGCAGGAAACACCCACCACCAAACCUCUCUUCCCUUUCCUGCUUGUGAGGUGAAACGGGGGAUUCUCUAUUGACUGAGGUUCCACAGACUCUCCUCUCCGUAUCAGGACAGAAUACCAGCUGCCCCAGAGAUUUGGUGAGUACCCUGUGAGAAUCCCUCGUGCUUUUAGCUCUCACCUUGUGGGAAGCCCCCAAACUCUUCCUUUUCAGCCCAAGGUCAGGAAUAGAAGACCCCCUACCUCGGACAGCUAAGCCACUCCCUAAUGGACCAAGUUAGUCAGGAGCUCACCACGCUGCUCUGGCCCAGAGGCAGUGCUGUCUAACCUCCUGUGGGACAUCCUGACUGAGGAGAGACGUACUAUCUCAAGCACAAGCUUUUACAAAUUCAAGACCCCCACCCCCCACCCCCCGUUAUAUCAGAGUCCAUGCGAUUUGAAGGCCUCCUAUUUUGGUCUUUUGAUUUAUUUUUUAUUAUUAAUGUUUUGUCUUUUUAGGGCUGCACUCAUGGCAUAUGGAAGUUCCCAGGCUAGGGGUUGAAUCAGAACCACAGCUACCAGCCUACACCAUAGCCACAGCCACGCCAGAUCCAAGCCACAUCUGCAACCCGCACCACAGCUCAUGGCAACCCUGGAUCUUUAACCCACUGAGUGAGGCUAGGGAUCAAACGCAUGUCCUUAUGGAUACUAGUCAGGUUCAUUACCACUGAGCCAUGGCGGGAACUCCCUGUUUUGGUCUUUUGAGAAAACCAUUAAUAUUUUUAUUAAUAUUUAAAUUUCCCAAGCCAGAAGUCUUCUUUGGGUCAAAUCCAGCAUUUGCUAGCCUACAAUUCCUCUAACCACCCCCUUGGUAGCUAGAAACAAAUCCAAAACAGAACAUCUAAGGUAUGGGAAACCAAACGUCCACCCUAUCAAAGGAUAGCCCAUUAGGGUGCAUCCUACAGAAAUGGAAGUUUUUCGGGUAUCAUCCCCUGACCCUCAAAACAUUUAAUCUUCCUAUGUAAUACAGCCUGGCUCUAAUACCAGCUGUGAGAUGGGGAAAGCUGGCUUGCCAAUGGAUUUCUAAAUUACAACAUCAUUUUACAACUGGACAUGCUGUGUCAGAGACAAAAGAAAUGGGAUGAAAUUCCCUAUGUCCAGCUUUUUUUGUGGGCUUGUAUCAGAACAGAGACCUUCGAAAGGGAUGUAGGCUCUUCUCCGUUGAGAUAAUACUAGUUCUUGAUCCUCCCCCGAGGACCUUCUUGGUUUCUUCCCUAACCCUCCCUGCUCCCUCCCUACCCCCUUCCUUCUUAGGUUCCAAUUUGGGCCAAAGGCCUAAUGGCCCCCUUCCAAACCAGUGCCCUUCCUCAGAACCCAGUCCAGCAACUACAUAAAGCAGGACCAACCAGAGUCCAAGGAGCCACCAGGAAAAGUCCUCUCUUUGAGGCAGAAGGUAGGCUCAUCCAGGUAUAUGUCCCAUUUACCACUCCUGAUCUGUAUAACUGGAGAAGUCAUAGCAAGGGGUUGGGGAAAGAUAGAGGGGUUCCUGAAUCUGACUAGGGAAAUCUUUCAGACCUAAGACCCCACCUGAGCUGACAUCCAGAGCCUCCUCAAUGUACUCCUAGCAGAAGAAGAAAAGGCCACCAUCUUUUCAGGAGCCCGGACAAAGCAAACAGAGACAGAACAGUGCUGGUCAUGCUCUUUUCAGAUGGAGGAAUCAAGUGGUCCCAGAUAAUAAACACAACUGGGACCACAGAGACAACAGAGAAUGGGGUGGAAGACAGGCUGACCCACUAUAAAAAUAUGAUCCUAAAGGGACCAGGCAGCGGCAAGAAACCUGUCAGUUGGAAUAAGAUAAAGGAAAUCAUUUGGGAGCUGGUAGGAAACCCUUCUUUGGUAUUCUUAGAGUCUCAGGGAAUGCCUCUGAAUCUGUAUCACCACUGAUCCUGAGUCUUUGGAAGGCAACACAAUCCUGAGGUCAUAUUUCAUUUCUCAAAGUGCCCUGACAUUAAGCAUAAAUUUCAGAAAUUGCAAAUAGAACCAUGUACCCCUA